rnacentral:rRNA from 1 species
CCUACGGGUGGCAGCAGUGAGGAAUAUUGGUCAAUGGACGAGAGUCUGAACCAGCCAAGUAGCGUGAAGGAUGAAUGCCCUAUGGAUUGUAAACUUCUUUUAUAUGGGAAUAAAAUGUUCCACGUGUGGGAUUUUGUAUGUACCAUAUGAAUAAGGAUCGGCUAACUCCGUGCCAGCAGCCGCGGUAAUACGGAGGAUCCGAGCGUUAUCCGGAUUUAUUGGGUUUAAAGGGAGCGUAGGUGGAUUGUUAAGUCAGUUGGGAAAGUUGCCGGCGCAAACGUAAAAUGGCAAUUGAAACUGGCAGACUUGAGUACAGUAGAGGUGGGCGGAAUUCGAGGUGUAGCGGUGAAAUGCUUAGAUAUCACGAAGAACUCCGAUUGCGAAGGCAGUUCACUGGACUGCAACUGACACUGAGGCUCGAAAGUGUGGGUAGCAAACAGGAUUAGAUACCCCAGUAGUC